AUCUGGUUGAUCCUGCCAGUAGUCAUACGCUCGUCUCAAAGAUUAAGCCAUGCAUGUGUAAGUAUAAAUAAUUUUACUUUGAAACUGCGAAUGGCUCAUUAUAUCAGUUAUAGUUUAUUAGAAAUAUUUUACUACUUGGAUAACCGUAGUAAUUCUAGGGCUAAUACAUGAGUAAAACCUCAACUUCGGAAGAGGUGUGUUUAUUAGUAUGAAAACCAUAUAUCUUCGGAUAUAAUAGUGAGUAAUAAUAACCUUUCAUAUCGUAUGUCGUAAGAUAACGAUAGUUCUUUCAAGUUUCUGCCCUAUCAGCUUUCGAUGGUAGUAUAUGGGACUACCAUGGCAGUAACGGGUAACGAAGAAUUUGGGUUCGAUUUCGGAGAGGGAGCCUGAGAGAUGGCUACCACAUCCAAGGAAGGCAGCAGGCGCGUAAAUUACCCAAUCCUGACAUAGGGAGGUAGUGACAAUAAAUCACAAUGCGGAACUUUUAGUUUUGCAAUUGGAUUGAGAACAAUGUACAAAUGUUAUCGAUAAACAAUUGGAGGGCAAGUCUGGUGCCAGCAGCCGCGGUAAUCCCCGCUCCAAUAUCGUAUAUUAACGUUGUUGCAGUUAAAAAGCUC
rnacentral:rRNA from 1 species